UACAUAGGUCUCAAGCGUUGUUCGGAUUCAUUGGGCGUAAAGGGUGCGUAGGCGGCGCGGUAAGUCGGGUGUGAAAUCUCGGGGCUUAACUCCGAAACUGCAUUCGAUACUGCCGUGCUUGAGGACUGGAGAGGAGACUGGAAUUUACGGUGUAGCGGUGAAAUGCGUAGAUAUCGUAAGGAAGACCAGUGGCGAAGGCGGGUCUCUGGACAGUUCCUGACGCUGAGGCACGAAGGUCAGGGGAGCAAACGGG
rnacentral:rRNA from 1 species